rnacentral:rRNA from 1 species
GACGAACGCUGGCGGCGUGCUUAACACAUGCAAGUCGAACGAGGUCCACCGCGUAGCAAUACAAGGGAAGACCUAGUGGCGAACGGGUGCGUAACACGUGAGGAACUUGUCCCGGUCUCUGGGAUAACAGUUGGAAACGACUGCUAAUACCGGAUGACGUCGGAAUCUCGCAUGGGAUACUGACGAAAGGGUUACUGGAUCGGGAGAGCCUCGCGGCCUAUCAGCUUGUUGGUGAGGUAACGGCUCACCAAGGCAUCGACGGGUAGCUGGUCUGAGAGGAUGAUCAGCCACACUGGGACUGAGACACGGCCCAGACUCCUACGGGAGGCAGCAGUGGGGAAUCUUGCGCAAUGGGCGAAAGCCUGACGCAGCAACGCCGCGUGCGGGAAGAAGGCCCUCGGGUUGUAAACCGCUUUCAGAAGGAACGAAAAUAGACGGUAACGUUUCUAGAAGAAGGU